rnacentral:sRNA from 1 species
GACAGCAAGCCGCGCUCCUCGCUGGAGUC